AAGUCGUAACAAGGUUUCCGUAGGUGAACCUGCGGAAGGAUCAUUAACACAAUGAUAAGAGAAUUUUUUUUUGCAGGAGGAUCUCUUCUCCUCAAAGAAAGUCUCUAUUCUGUACACCCCCCCCUUUUGGAUGAAUUACUGAGAUUCUUUUUUUGGAAAAAAAAAAAGAUGGAAUCGGAGAGAAAAUCUUUGUUGAUCUCGUUCUUUUUUUUUUGCUAAAAAGAUUCUUAAUUAUCUCUUUUCUUUUUUUUAAACCCAACCCCAAUCUUUAUACUAUGCCAAUGUCUAAUAUCAAUAGUUGAGAAAACGCUUAAAAAACAACUCUUAACAACGGAUAUCUUGGCUCUC
rnacentral:misc_RNA from 1 species